UGGGGAAUAUUGGACAAUGGGCGCAAGCCUGAUCCAGCCAUACCGCGUGGGUGAAGAAGGCCUUCGGGUUGUAAAGCCCUUUUGUUGGGAAAGAAAUCCUGUCGAUUAAUACUCGGUGGGGAUGACGGUACCCAAAGAAUAAGCACCGGCUAACUUCGUGCCAGCAGCCGCGGUAAUACGAAGGGUGCAAGCGUUACUCGGAAUUACUUGGCGUAAAGCGUGCGUAGGUGGUGGUUUAAGUCUGCUGUGAAAGCCCUGGGCUCAACCUGGGAAUUGCAGGGGAUACUGGAUCACUAGAGUGUGGUAGAGGGAUGCGGAAUUUCUGGUGUAGCAGUGAAAUGCGUAGAGAUCAGAAGGAACAUCCGUGGCGAAGGCGGCAUCCUGGGCCAACACUGACACUGAGGCACGAAAGCGUGGGGAGCAAACA
rnacentral:rRNA from 1 species